rnacentral:ncRNA from 9 species
AAAAGUGCUUAUAGUGCAGGUAG